CAGAGGUCUCAAGCGUUGUUCGGAUUCAUUGGGCUUAAAGAGUUCGUAGGCGGCAUUGCAAGUAGGGUGUGAAAGCCCUCGGCUCAACCGAGGAAUUGCGCUCUAAACUGCAGUGCUUGAGGAACCUAGAGGUGAGCAGAACAGAUGGUGGAGCGGUGAAAUGCGUUGAUAUCAUCUGGAAUACCGGAGGCGAAGGCGGCUCACUGGGAGUUUUCUGACGCUGAGGAACGAAAGCCAGGGUAGCGAACGGGAUUAGACACCCCGGUAGUCCUGGCCGUAAACGAUGAGCACUAGGCCGGAGCCCUGCACAGGGUUUCGGCCGUAGCCAAAGUGUUAAGUGCUCCGCCUGGGGAGUAUGGUCGCAAGGCUG
rnacentral:rRNA from 1 species